AGAACCAGCAUCAGCCACAGCAUCAGAGGAACGGUCUGGAAAGGCCGGCGAGAGAGGGUGACAGCCCCGUACUCGAAGAUGGCGUGGUUGUGAGUUCGACGAGUAAGGCGGGACACGAGAAAUCCUGUUUGAAGAUGGGGGGACCAUCCUCCAAGGCUAAAUACUCCUGACUGACCGAUAGUGAACCAGUACCGUGAGGGAAAGGCGAAAAGAACCCCGGCGAGGGGAGUGAA
rnacentral:rRNA from 1 species